rnacentral:rRNA from 1 species
UGGGGAAUAUUGCACAAUGGGCGCAAGCCUGAUGCAGCCAUGCCGCGUGUGUGAAGAAGGCCUUCGGGUUGUAAAGCACUUUCAGCGAGGAGGAAGGGUUCAGUGUUAAUAGCACUGUUCAUUGACGUUACUCGCAGAAGAAGCACCGGCUAACUCCGUGCCAGCAGCCGCGGUAAUACGGAGGGUGCAAGCGUUAAUCGGAAUUACUGGGCGUAAAGCGCACGCAGGCGGUUUGUUAAGUCAGAUGUGAAAUCCCCGCGCUUAACGUGGGAACUGCAUUUGAAACUGGCAAGCUAGAGUCUUGUAGAGGGGGGUAGAAUUCCAGGUGUAGCGGUGAAAUGCGUAGAGAUCUGGAGGAAUACCGGUGGCGAAGGCGGCCCCCCUGGACAAAAGACUGACGCUCAGGUGCGAAAGCGUGGGGAGCAAAACAGGAUUAGAUACCCUGGUAGUCCACGCUGUAAAACGAUGUCGACUUGGAGGUUGUGCCCUUGAGGCGUGGCUUCCGGAGCUAACGCGUUAAGUCGACCGCCUGGGGGAGUACGGCCGCAAGG